CCUACGGGUGGCAGCAGUGAGGAAUAUUGGUCAAUGGGCGCGAGCCUGAACCAGCCAAGUCGCGUGAGGGAUGACGGCCCUACGGGUUGUAAACUUCUUUUAUAAGGGAAUAAAGUGAGGGACGUGUCCCGUUUUGAAUGUACUUUAUGAAUAAGGAUCGGCUAACUCCGUGCCAGCAGCCGCGGUAAUACGGAGGAUCCGAGCGUUAUCCGGAUUUAUUGGGUUUAAAGGGAGCGUAGACGGGUUGUUAAGUCAGUUGUGAAAGUUUGCGGCUCAACCGUAAAAUUGCAAUUGAUACUGGCAGUCUUGAGUACGGUUGAGGUAGGCGGAAUGCGUGGUGUAGCGGUGAAAUGCAUAGAUAUCACGCAGAACUCCGAUUGCGAAGGCAGCGUACUGGACCGCAACUGACGCUGAUGCACGAAAGUGUGGGUAUCGAACAGGAUUAGAUACCCGAGUAGUC
rnacentral:rRNA from 1 species